rnacentral:rRNA from 1 species
UACGGAGGGGGCUAGCGUUGUUCGGAAUUACUGGGCGUAAAGCGCACGUAGGCGGCUUUGUAAGUUAGAGGUGAAAGCCCAGGGCUUAACUCUGGAAUUGCCUUUAAGACUGCAUCGCUAGAAUUGUGGAGAGGUAAGUGGAAUUCCGAGUGUAGAGGUGAAAUUCGUAGAUAUUCGGAAGAACACCAGUGGCGAAGGCGACUUACUGGACACAUAUUGACGCUGAGGUGCGAAAGCGUGGGAGCAAACAGG